rnacentral:tRNA from 2 species
GGGCCCAUAGCUCAGUUGGUUAGAGCAGGGGACUCAUAAUCCCUUGGUCGCAGGUUCGAGUCCUGCUGGGCCCA